CCGUGCGCACGGACGAACGCUGGCGGCGUGCCUAAUACAUGCAAGUCGAACGCACUGACGGAGAACUGUCUCUGACGUGAGUGGCGCACGGGUGAGUAACACUGGGAAACCUACCCGUUCAGCGGGGGAGUAACCAUCGGAAACGAUGACUAAUACCGCAUAGACGACAGAACCGCCUGGUUCAAUCGGGAAAGACGGCUUCGGCUGUCACUGAAGGAUGGUCCCGCGCUGCAUUAGCUAGUUGGUAAGGUAACGGCUUACCAAGGCGAUGAUGCAUAGCCGACCUGAGAGGGUGAUCGGCCACAUUGGGACUGAGACACGGCCCAAACUCCUACGGGAGGCAGCAGUAGGGAAUCUUCCGCAAUGGACGCAAGUCUGACGGAGCAACGCCGCGUGUGUGAAGAAGGUUUUCGGAUCGUAAAGCACUGUUAUUAGAGAAGAACAGCCGAUAGAGUAACUGUUAUCGGUUUGACGGUAUCUAACCAGAAAGUGACGGCUAACUACGUG
rnacentral:rRNA from 1 species